UACGUAGGGUGCAAGCGUUGUCCGGAAUUACUGGGCGUAAAGAGUUCGUAGGCGGUUUGUCACGUCGUUUUGUGAAAACUCACAGCUCAACUGUGAGCCUGCAGGCGAUACGGGCAGACUUGAGUACUGCAGGGGAGACUGGAAUUCCUGGUGUAGCGGUGAAAUGCGCAGAUAUCAGGAGGAACACCGGUGGCGAAGGCGGGUCUCUGGGCAGUAACUGACGCUGGAGGAACGAAAGCGUGGGUAGCGAACAGG
rnacentral:rRNA from 1 species